rnacentral:rRNA from 1 species
GACGAACGCUGGCGGCGUGCUUAACACAUGCAAGUCGAACGGAAAGGCCCUGCUUUUGUGGGGUGCUCGAGUGGCGAACGGGUGAGUAACACGUGAGUAACCUGCCCUUGACUUUGGGAUAACUUCAGGAAACUGGGGCUAAUACCGGAUAGGAGCUCCUGCUGCAUGGUGGGGGUUGGAAAGUUUCGGCGGUUGGGGAUGGACUCGCGGCUUAUCAGCUUGUUGGUGGGGUAGUGGCUUACCAAGGCUGUGACGGGUAGCCGGCCUGAGAGGGUGACCGGCCACAUUGGGACUGAGAUACGGCCCAGACGGCUACGGGCGGCAGCAGUGGGGAAUAUUGCACAAUGGGCGGAAGCCUGAGGCAGCAACGUCGCGUGCGUGAUGACGGGCUUCGGGUUGUAAACCGCUUUCGCCUGAGACGAAGCGUUAGUGACGGUAACGGGUAAAGAAGCACCGGCUAACUACGUG